AUGUCACCUACUAGAACAAGCACAAGCACAACCAUAUGCAGUCUCUUGACCUAUCGAUGCUUGUGUGAAUUCAUAAGCCUGACUGAAUCUGCUGAUGCCAGAAGGAACUCUGAAUUCGUAUGCCAUGUAUGGAACAUGUCAUUCAGAUGGUCUUUGGUUAUUCAUCUAACAAAAUAUAUGGAUGCAAGUGAAAUUUGUAACAAGGCAAAGAUUUUUGUUUCGUUUUGCAUGGAACAAGGCAAAGAUUUCACUGUCGUAUUUUUCAUUAUGUAUAGUGAAUACUUUAUUGGGCUGCAAUGCAUUUACCAUUUGAAUUAUCAUGUCGAUAAAAUCGCUCCAUGCGAGCGGUUGUCAAAUUUCCUUGUAAAAGUACCACUAGAAGUUUGUUCUUCUAAUUUGUGUGUGCUUUCAUCAAAUAGUGAUAGGCUUAUCAAUAAGUGCCUUAUUGAGUGUAUCUGA
rnacentral:rRNA from 1 species